rnacentral:rRNA from 1 species
AGUUGAACCUUGGGCCUGGCUGGCCGGUCCGCCUCACCGCGUGCACUGGUUCGGCCGGGCCUUUCCCUCUGGGGAGCCCUAUGCCCUUCACUGGGUGUAGUGGGGAACCAGGACUUUUACUGUGAAAAAAUUAGAGUGUUCAAAGCAGGCAUAUGCUCGAAUACAUCAGCAUGGAAUAAUAGAAUAGGACGUGUGGUUCUAUUUUGUUGGUUUCUAGGACCGCCGUAAUGAUUAAUAGGGACAGUCGGGGGCAUCAGUAUUCAAUUGUCAGAGGUGAAAUUCUUGGAUUUAUUGAAGACUAACUACUGCGAAAGCAUUUGCCAAGGAUGUUUUCAUUAAUCAGGAACGAAAGUUAGGGGAUCGAAGACGAUCAGAUACCGUCGUAGUCUUAACCAUAAACUAUGCCGACUAGGGAUCGGACGAUGUUAUUUUUUGACUCGUUCGGCACCUUACGAGAAAUCAAAGUUUUUGGGUUCUGGGGGGAGUAUGGUCGCAAGGCUGAAACUUAAAGGA